CCUGCUUUGGAACUGAAACAGAAGUGAAAAUGUACCUUUUGGGGCAUAAUGAGAUGUAGAGGUGAGGAAGACGGGCAAAGUUGCAAAUAUGCAAGAAAUAAACAACUAGAAAUAGCGUCAUGGAGACUGGAUAACGACCGACUCUGCUUCAUCCAUGAUCUUGGACAUCUUGUAAAAUUCCACCUGUGACUACUCUGGCGUCCUCUUUAAGUUGUGUCCUGUCCUGUCAACCCCCAUCACCAUACUACAGGGAGCUCAAUGUGAGAGCUGGCUGCGGGGACGUUUUCUGGACGAGCUCGGACUCCUGAACCUAACCCGUCUCUCUGGUCGAACAAAAGAGGAAGACAGCUCGUAGGAGACCUGCGUGUGGAGGAACCAACAAGGAGUCAGAGAGGAGUAAGAAGUAAAGUCACAGCUGGGAAACUACCAACAAGACCCUGUGGCUUAUAUUUGUUCUAAUUUAGUAGGUUGUUGUGGUUUUUAACCAGCAGCUCUUUUCCUGUUGUUUUCUGUAGCUGGUUUCUGAAAUAGAAACUGAUCUGAUUACAGAUUCAGUAAAUGGAAAAUGUUCCAGAUGCAUUUUAGUUGACAGAAGAAAGAUGGGCAGACUGGAGACAUCUCAUGACUCAAACUGUUUCACUACUUGCUCUUACUACGUUAUCUUUUAUUUUCUUUCUUUUUGCAAUUUAUUUAUUAGAUACCUUCUGCCAGCUGUGAAUCUGUAAAAUAAUCCAAUGGGGCAAAAUCCUUGAUAAAGUAGAUCCACUAAAAGGGUGUGUAAUUACCACUGACAGGAUCAGAAUGUUAUUAAAACAACAUCAUUGGAAGGAUCUCUGCAGAGACACUUGAUCUGGAGCAAGUCCACAAAUUUUAGACCCAAAAUAUAAAAUAGACCCAGAUUAUGUAACUAUCAGAAUUCCCUCUGGACAACAAAAAUACCAGAAAGGAUGAAAUGAUACAUACUGUGAAGAAAGACUCUCUCUUGGUGAGUUCCCCUGACACGGGAAGCGACAGUCAUCGAGGUCGUUCUCUGAGAACAGAAACAAAGAGUCAUCAAGUUUACUCGCAAUAUGAAGACAUCAGUGUGUGUCAGACUCGUAGAGAGCACAGAAUAUUUGAACCUUUACUGAUGAAGCUUUCCUGAAACUAAUCCACCUCCUGAAAAGAUACAAAUAAAUGGGAUCUGAGUCCUGCUCUCACCUGGCAGUGAGGUCUGGGCUUGGCUCAGUAGUGGUGGCAGUGCCGGUGCUGUGGAGAGACAGCUGGCGAAAGGCUGCGUGGAGGUCAGACUAUAGGAGGUGCUGGAACCUGGAUGGACCUGUGAGACAGUGAACAUCAACAUCUGGCUGAAAAAUCAUCAGGAUGAUCAGGGGUGGGUGCUGGUAAAAGUAAUAUGUGUCUGAAGAUUUCCAGAUGCAUUUUAUGUAUUUGAAUGUGGUUGAACGAGUGUCUUUAACUUAAUUCAUUUCUUUUUUAAAUCAUGUACAACACAGACCAAAUGGUGCAAUGAAAUGAGUUAUUAAUCUGGUCAUAUUAUUAUUUUAGUGAGAAAUCAUAAUGCUCGCUAUUUGUAUGAUGAAAACGAGUGUAGUCCAGGUCAGUGGUUUUCAAAGUGGGGGCCACCAAGGGGUGCUAGGGGGGCCUCAGAAAAUUGGAGGGAAGGGAAAAAAAUAGAAUCGAAUUAUUUCCAUUAUUUUUUUUUUUUAACAACACGUUUGUUACUAAUUUCCUAUGCUAAACAAAUGAAAAAUUAU